AAGGGUAUAGCUCAGUGGCAAAGUGCAUGCCUAGCAUGCAUGAGGUCCUGGGUUCAGUCCCCAGUACCUCCA
rnacentral:tRNA from 1 species